GAGUAUACUAGGCCUGUAAAGUUUGAAAUAUUUACUAUCUGGUGCUUUACAGAAAGUUUGCCAACCCCUGUUCUAGCCCUCUGGGCCUCCAGGGAAUUGAGGCCAGGUCACCAUGUUUGGACCAGGAACAUGUUGGAAGCAAUAGGAUAAAGAUUAUGCUGAGUGGAGGAAGAAGAAGAGGAAGGGACACCCAUUCUGAUUCCUGAGGAUCAGAGAGACCACAAGAGAGAAAACAGAUGACCCUGACCACAAGGUCCUGUUCCAAGCAGCUCCAAACCUCCAGAUCUCAAGGGGCCACUGACACGCCCCGUGCAUCACAGCACGCACUCCCACAGAGUGAAAACUCCUGUGAAACAAGCAUCCACAUCAAGAAACAGAACGAGAGUGACCACGUGUGUGUUUUCGAAACAAAAUCAGGAUCCUCCGACGUUGUGAGAUGAUUGUGUCCUCCCAGAAAGCUCCUGGACGGAUCUAAGAAUGACACCUCCUGCAGCCUGGUGACCGUGGCAGACACAUCAGAUGACGUCACCAUCUAAAGCACUUCAGUGGCUCCCCCAUGUCCCUGUGGUCUGGCUCCUGUACCCUCCCACCUCAUCUCAUACCUCGCUCCCCGUUCGGCCACUCAGGCCACAUUUUGGCCCUUCUCCUCUCUGUCUCUGUGGCCACAGGGCCUUAGUACAUGCUGUGCCAUCUGCCGAAGAUGCCUCUACUCUCCCCUCGACAUGCGCUCGUCAUCAUCCUUCAGAUCUAAACUAUUCCCUGCCUCCCUACAUCAUGUACCUUGUAACACCAGUGAUCUCGGGACCUCUUCGUAGGGUGUCUGGGGGAGAGGCUUCCAGGGAACUGCCCCCGAGUCUGUCACUCCCAAGGUCUUGGCUCUGUGUCCCCACCUCCCAGAGAGGAGACCUCCUACAUCCCCACCGGCCAGUGGUCCCCAGGGCUCCUUCUAAAGCUCUUCCGCAUCUCUCCUCUCCUCACCACCCAUGGCCGCCUCUUGGCAUUGCAAUGGUGCGCCCCACCCUCUACACUCUCCAUACCCAGCUGAGGGCUCUAUAAAAUGCACCCAACUCCCUUCCUGAAAACCUUUUCAUUGCUCCCCACUGGCAUCAGGGUAAAUUUCUAGCUCCUACUUCGUGAGCCUCUUGACAAGGCCAUUUUGAUCCAGCCUCCAGUGAGCACUUACCGCACCAGCCUCAGCCCCCGGCGCCAAUUCCCCUCAGUCCUCCUGUCCCCAACAGGCUGGGAGCCAUCAUGCCUCAGUGCCUUCUCCCUUUGUCCCUUCUGUUCCCUUUGCCUGGGCCCCUUCCCCUCUGGGCUUCACCUGGCUAAAUGCUCACUGCAUCCUUCUCAACUCCCACCAAGGUAUCACCUCCUCCAGGAAGCCUUCCCUAUGCCCCUGACUGUGUUUUCCCUGAGGCAAGAACGGUGUUUUGAUUGAACUGAGGACCCCCAAAGUGGGUACACAACAAGCAUGUAUCACAGAAAUCAUGUCCCAAAGACAAGGCCUGUGAUAACAAAGAGUCAGGUUUCCAUUACGCAUCCAAAUUAUAGUGACUUUACCAGGAUCCCCCCAGGAUCAAAACUUCAUCCACGCUGCCCAAGUUAGGCUUCACUCCAUGUACCCAGGGAUCGGGGCUUGGAGGUACCGCCCUGGCCCUUACCAGCCACAGACGGUGGCUGGUAAGGUGGUGGCGCUCUGUUCAGAGCCCCCAGGCCCAUCUUCAGAGCACCUCUGAAGCCCACCUGUCUUACUCUGAACCCACCUCCCAUCUCAAAGGCGGGGGGCACAGUUAUGCCCCCUGAGAUCCAGGCCCACAACACCCCAAAGCCUCAGGAGGUCACUUCUGACCCUGCUUCUGAGGCUUACCUUCCCCAUGCUGUGUUCUCGGCCCAGGAUGGAUUUAUCGCCAGGUUGGGGGACAGGGAACUCACUCCCGUACAGGAAGCUCACCCCUCCCAGAAGGAAUGGUCGGGCCCUCCAGCUGAAAUAAAGCCACCCCAGUGGGCCCCAACCCUGCAACGUCAUUACACCCGGGGUCACCAAGAGCACCUGCAGGAGGCAGCGCUGUCCCUCCUCUCUUGACCUUGACCAACUCAGUCCUGCCUCUCUCCACGCUUUUCUCCAUCAUGAAACAGGAUACCAGGGAGUCCACCUUCCCCUAAACGGGCAGUCCUGCUGAGCCCCAGCCCCCGUCCCCCAGUAGGCUGGCACUUGGGCGCAGUGUUGGCCAAUCCUCCUGUUUACAGGACAAGCCAGAUGUUCACAUUUCUGUGUGAAAUGGCCCUACUUUAAAACAGGACUCAAAUUUUCCAAAUCUCUGAGUGGCCAGAUAGGAGCCCAGGUCAUGGAUCUCUGGGCUCAGGACGCCAGCAGGGAUCCACAGGAAGGUUAGUGAUAGCUUUGGCUUUCCCAAGCACCACUGCUAGGGACUUGCUUUAAGUCACAUAACUCAAAAGGCUGCUGUGAGGCUCUGGGACCAGCUGGGAUGGGCUCUCAUGGGCAGCGUGAGCAUUUAGGGUUUUGUCUGCAAACACAAAGGCCUGGGGCGGGGAGACAAAGCUGAAAGCGUUAUCAGCAGUGACUCAGCGAGCCCGAGCCCGGGGUUAACAUCCCUAGAAAGGCAGCCAGGGUGGUGUUCUCAGCAGGGUGGCAGGAAGCCCACAUCCUUGGGGGGUGUGCAGCUGUCUGUGAUCUGGGGUGAUUUCCUCACCCUCGUCUGACGAGGUGACGCUCUCAAGAGCAGAUUGUCAGGGACAGUUUCCCAAGCUGGGAGCCGAGGGCCACCUCCCUCCUAACAAGACCAGGCAGCCCAGGAUGGGGAGGGAGGGACUCCAGGGGCAAGUCUGCGCCUGUCUUGGGCAGGGCCCCGGCAGGGAGUGAAGCAAACCUCAGCUCAUGUCUGCUCAUCACCUGCCCUGCAGCGCCCCAGAGAAGGCUCUGCCCAGCAGGGCCUGGCAUGUCGUCAGCGCUCAAUAAAUACUUGUUGAAUGUAUGGCUGGCUGGCUGGCUGGAUGAAUAGAUGGUUGGACAGAUAGACAGACGGGUGCAUGGAUGGAUGAACAGACAGACGCACAAAUGCAUGGAUGGAUGCAUGGAUGCAUGGAUAAAUAGAUGGAUGGAUGGAUGAACAGACAGAUGCAUGCAUGGAUGGAUGAAUAGAUGCACAGAUGGACAAACAGACAAGAUGGGUAGAUGGAUAAACAGACAAGACGGAUAGAUGGAUGAACAGAUGACUAAUGGAUGAACAGAGAGAUGGAUGCACGGAUGGAUGAAUGGAUGGGUGAUGGAUGAACAGAUAGAUGGAGUCAUAAAUCUUUAAGGAUAGAGAAAGACACUUCGCAGGCCCAAGGUGCCAACUGGGCAUGAUAGAAGCAGCCCAGCCUUACAGUAAACCUCAGCCUCCAGCCCGGAAAGCACUGUGGACAGUGAUGUGGGCGAUUCACACAGCUGGGACUCAUGGAGAAGCGGGCGGGCGUGUGACUGCACUUACAUACCUCCAGGCCUUGGCCUGUGCCGUUCUUUCUGCCUACAACACCCUCUCCACUUCUUUGCCUGCCCAUCUCCCACUCAAUCUUUUAUAUCUCUUCUUGGACUUCUGUGUCCCAAGGAAGGCACCUGAGAGGUCCUCCUCUCCCUAACCUGGCCUGCCAGGUUCCCCACCCCCAGACCACCCUGUGUCAUGGUGGUCUGUUCACUCCUGACCCCCCCCAGUGGGCUGUGGGCCCCUGGCGGGCAGAGACCAUGCCCGGCUCCCGUCUCCAUCCCCAGCGCUGAGCCUGGCACUCAAAGUACUCAGGAAAUGCCAGUGAACUCAACGCCAGCACACAGAGGGGGGAUUCUGUUCCCCACUCCCCCAGCGUACAGAAAAUGUGAUCUGAUCAGAAAGAUACUUGCCCAGCUCAACUUUAAAAAAUGAAAUGGGAGUCAUAAAAGCAAAGCAGGCUCAGAAAUAAAAACACAGAGCCCUAGACUUGAGGUUUGAUAGAACAGAAAAGCUCCAUAUUUAUGUCGUGUAUCAUGGUCCACAAAGAGCCGUCACGAGUCAGCUCAAUCCUGUCGUGGUAGCCAUGUUUGCUAAGUGGAAACAGAGGCCCCGAGCUAAAGUGACUUGUCCAGGGUCACAGUGAGUGCUAGGGCCAGGGCUGGGAUCCCAGGCAGGGGGCUCACCUGCCAAUCCACUCGUCCUCCUUCUAACAACUGGCUUCUUUCCAGGUUAGGAACCUGUUGGGGGCUAGGCCAGCCCAGGAGGGGAAAGGCUGACUUCCCCACAUGGAGGCGAUAAGGAGGCUCAGAGAGUCCAAGUCACCUACCUGGGCUCACACAGCUAGGAAGGUAAGAAGUGGCCAGCUGAGGAGAAGGGCAGGCCUGGAACCCUGGGCCGGGCAGAGAUUUCAUCCCUAGGGCCCCUCCACUGCCACCUGGACCACCAUGGACCCACAGCUGGGCAGACGGGCCCCCCCACCCCCCCCACCCCCCCCACCCCUCAUGCGGAGUCUAGAUCUCUCAGAGCCCCAGCCCCGCCCAUCCUGGGCUCAAAAGAUAAGACUCCUUCAGCAGAAUUGGUGACAGUCUGUCCUAACUGGCUCAGCCAGGAGAUGCCCAGGUUUUGGUCAGAGGGCACGGUUCUGACUCCCAGCUCUGCCACUUGUGAACUGUGGGAGCUUUUGCAUGCGUGUCUCUAAAGCGGUGGCUAUAAAGCCUGCCGACAGGGUGGUCAUGCCCAUCACAUGAAAUCGUGUAUUCAAGCACCAGCCACAGUGCCUGGGAAACCGUAGGCGUUGCCAUCCUCGCCACCAAUAGCAUCUUCAUGACACCAAAGCACAGCAAAGAGGCCCAGAGUUUGCUGCAGAGGAGGAUGGAUUGCAAAGAAUGGGUCUUCUGUGCUUUACCCUUCUCAGUCUGAUAGGGGAAGGCUGGAGGUCCCAGGGUGCAGAUGGGGCUGGGGGGGCGGGGAGUCCCCUCCUGCAGGAACCUACAUGGCAGGGAAGGCAGGGCCACCCACUGGGGCCAGGGAGACCCAGCUAGCAACAGAUCAACAGCCCCAUCUGUGAUGGAGAGAGGAAGGGCCAGUGUGAAGGCCAGGAGGCGGGAGCUGGUUCACCCUGGCAACGAGAGAGUGGGCAGGUUCUGUCUCCCCUCCUCUCACCAGGGUCUGUGCUCCCCCGGCCAGGUUCUUCCUCCCCAACUCCCUUGGUCUGCUCACUGCUCGCUCCCCAAGGCAUUCCACACCGAUUCCUGCCACCCAGCAAGGGAGGGUACCAAGCCCGCAGCUUUGGAGCCAGAUGGGGCUGGAAUCAAAUUCUGAUGUUCCCACUUGCUAGCUCUGGGCUUUGGCUGUCUCUUCUGGAAAGAGGGGACUAAACGCCCCCUGUGGGAAAGGAACUUAGCACAGCACACAGGCUGCUCAGGAUCCUGGGGCAGCCUCACUGGGUUCCUCCUGAUAGAUGCCUCUCUUCCAAACAAUAAACCUGUACAGCUACUUGGGAAAAGUGCUUGUCCAUUUCUCAAACUAAACAUAAACUCAGACAUUUAUACAAUCCCACUCCUAGGUGGGCAUUUAGCCCAGAGAAAUGAAAACCUAUAUCCAUACAAAAACCUGCAGCAGCUUUACUCAGAAUAGCCCCAAACUGGAAGCAGCCCAGACGCCUCUCAAGAUGUGAACGGUUAAGCAGUCUGUGGCAUGGCCACAUCGUGGGUUACUCCCCAGCCAUAAAAGGGAAUGAACCACUGACACACAAAACAACUCAGAUGGAUCUCAGGAGCAUUGUGCUGCGUGGAAAAAAAAAAAGCCAACCUCCGAGGGCACAUGCUAGAUGAUUCCAUCUAUAUAACAUUCUCAAAUGACAAAAUUAUAGAGAUGGAGACCAUAUUUGUGGUUGCCAGGGGGUCAGAGGUGGUCAGGGGCAGGGCAGCGGGUGUGACUGUAUGGGGAGAUCUUUGCGAUGAUGGAGUAGUUCUAGUCUUCAUUGUGACGGUGGUGAAGUGAAUCCACAGGUGACAAAAUGGCACAGAACUGUGCACGCACACACGCACGUGUUCUCUACCAAUGUCAAUUUUGAUAUGGUAGCAUAAUUAUGUGAGGUGUAACCAUUAAAACUGGGUGAAGGGUAUGUAGGACCACCCUGUACUGUCUCAGCAAUUUCCUGCGACUCUAGAAUUAUUUCAGAAGUAAAAGUGUGUUUUUGUUUGUUUGUUUUUUUAAUGGCACGCAUGGUAUGAUGUCUACAAUUGGCUUUCAAAUACUCCAGCCAUAAAGGUUAAAAAGAAAGAGGGGGAGCCCGCAAGGAGGUGAUAAAACAAGAUUGCAAAACAUUGCUGAUGAUGAUGCCAAGGGGUGGGGAUGAGGGAAUCACUGUCUGGUCCUCUUGAUUUCUGUACAUUUUUGAAAUUUUCCAUAAUA